rnacentral:lncRNA from 1 species
GCCAUUGGGAACUUUGUUGCAGUUCUCACCCCACUAUUUCUACAGAGCCGGGACCGAGCGAGCUGGCGAACGAUUGCGGUAAAGGUAUCCCGCCAUAGCUAGAGACCACCCGAGUUGGUUUCAUUUUGGGUUUAGUUAUAUACCUUUUUAUAUAUCAUCUUUUGUAUUUUGAUGAUUAUAGUUGUAUGAAUGAUGUAUUAAAGAUGUUAAAUGAAAAGCUUUAUUUCGGAGAAUAUGUGAUGUAAAAUGAAAUGAUGCAAAGAUUGUAAAGGAAUUAUAUUAAAGAUGUAUGCAUGUAUGUGAUUUAAAGUUAAUCAUAUUACUUGUAUGU